rnacentral:lncRNA from 1 species
CUCCCCUUUCCGUGGAGAGACUAUCAACUCCAUCUGUCACAAAAAUUAAGGCUAAAUCUCCUCUCCAGAAGCAGAGGGAGCCGGGGCUCCGACGCGCUCAGCGUCGGGCUGUCUGCCUCUCCCUAGAGGCCAAGUGAAUUUGAAAUGGCAAAAGUCACAGCCGGAGGCCCAGCACUAGGAGAUUCCUCCGGCUGCGGGAAAUCUUCCUGUACCUGCUGAAGCUGCUGCGUUCCUCAGAGGCG